GAUGAACGCCGGCGGCGUGCCUAAUACAUGCAAGUCGAGCGAACAGACGAGGAGCUUGCUCCUCUGACGUUAGCGGCGGACGGGUGAGUAACACGUGGAUAACCUACCUAUAAGACUGGGAUAACUUCGGGAAACCGGAGCUAAUACCGGAUAAUAUAUUGAACCGCAUGGUUCAAUAGUGAAAGACGGUUUUGCUGUCACUUAUAGAUGGAUCCGCGCCGCAUUAGCUAGUUGGUAAGGUAACGGCUUACCAAGGCAACGAUGCGUAGCCGACCUGAGAGGGUGAUCGGCCACACUGGAACUGGGACACGGUCCAGACUCCUACGGGAGGCAGCAGUAGGGAAUCUUCCGCAGUGGGCGAAAGCCUGACGGAGCAACGCCGCGUGAGUGGUGAAGGUCUUCGGUUCGUAAAACUCUGUUAUUAGGGAAGAACAGAUGUGUAAGUAACUAUGCACGUCUUGACGGUACCUAAUCAGAAAGCCACGGCUAACUACGUG
rnacentral:rRNA from 1 species